CAACCCCCUCGGAGAAAAAUCGCCCCCACUUCCACAUCUCGGCCGAGAAAAAUCGCCGCCCCAAGCCCCCAACACUCCUGCCGCGAUUGGGGUCUCCGGUGUAGGAGGAGCUGCAGCCCGCGGCGGCUCUUCUCCCCUGCACCCCGAGCUCCAAUGGCCUCACUCUGGGAGCCGAAGCAGUCAAGGCGUGGUGGUCUCAAGCACAGCGACGCCGAUCCUGAUAGCGCCCUGGCCACGACGCCGACGGCACGCCCUCACGACGGUCAUGCACAUGAGCGAUAGGAGAGGGUGGCACCAACUAUGGCUGCGGCACCGAUGAGUUCGCAAGACGAGCCCUGCUGCAUCGACGAGCCCUGCGCGGCAUCGGCAAGACCGGUAUAGGUUGCCGCACCGGCGAGCUCUGUGGUACAUGCGACCAUGCCGGCGCAGUUCCUCAAGAUUGGAUGUGUGCACUCUUGCAGGCUGGUGAUGACAACCAUCUUGGACGCCUUCUUCGAGGACCUCGGCUUGCUUAAGGCGAUGAUUGAUCGUCCGACUUACUCUGGUUGUGGCAUAGCAUGCACACUAGGUGUUUGUUCAUUUGUUUGUGCUGCCUUUGAUAGGUUCCCUGCCUGUCGAUUUUUUUUUCUCUGCCGAGAAGUGCAUAUUGUUGAUUGGUCCGGCUUACAAAGAGGAGUACCAGCUUCCCGAGUCUCUUACAGAAGCACUAAAUUGAAUACGAGGAGCAUGCCCAUGGACAAUUUCAUGUAUGUGUAUUGCCAUUGUGAUACAAGGUUAAGUGUGUAAUAUUUUUAGAUGGUCAAAGCAUGACUGCAUGAGUAUAACCAACUACAUCAGCCAUGAGGGUCUUCAGGUCUGCUCUAAAAUUAGACCUUGUAGUUAUUCUAAAUUGAUAAUGCUGGCAUGUAUGUGGAAUCAAAAAUCAUAGCUUGAAUUGCUUCUGAAGCAUAGUAUUGUCUUCCAAUUCUAUAAUAUUUAUUUCCUAUGCCGAUACUAUUAACCUGUUCCUUGGUUUAUAUCUUCUCUAACUGGGUCAUUCUGUAUGUUGUGGCUGUAUCAGAGUAUAUGUCAACUAAUCAAAGAUGUAUACUCCUAAUGCUUUUUCUUACAAUUGUAUGGGUGAUUGUGAUGCACAAAUUUCUAGCAGCAGUAGUGCUACCUGCUACUGCCAGUCGGUAGGCAGGCUGGUGCAACCGUCUUGGAGGUGAUGUCAUUUUGGGAAGCUUGUAUUAGAUAUAUAUGCUUUGGAGUGAA